CCUACGGGUGGCAGCAGUGGGGAAUAUUGCGCAAUGGGCGAAAGCCUGACGCAGCGACGCCGCGUGAGGGAUGAAGGUCUUCGGAUCGUAAACCUCUGUCAGCAGGGAAGAACGGUCACUGUGCUAAUCAGCAGUGAAUUGACGGUACCUGCAAAGGAAGCACCGGCUAACUCCGUGCCAGCAGCCGCGGUAAUACGGAGGGUGCGAGCGUUAACCGGAAUUACUGGGCGUAAAGCGCUCGUAGGCGGUAUGUCAAGUCAAGGGUGAAAUCCCCGCGCUCAACGUGGGUACUGCCUUUGAAACUGGCAAACUGGAGUGUGUGAGAGGAUAGUGGAAUUCCAGGUGUAGGAGUGAAAUGCGUAGAUAUCUGGAGGAACAUCAGUGGCGAAGGCGACUAUCUGGCACAUAACUGACGCUGAGGAGCGAAAGCGUGGGUAGCAAACAGGAUUAGAUACCCGAGUAGUC
rnacentral:rRNA from 1 species